rnacentral:rRNA from 1 species
GAUGAACGCUGGCGGCGUGCCUAAUACAUGCAAGUCGAGCGAACAGACGAGGAGCUUGCUCCUCUGACGUUAGCGGCGGACGGGUGAGUAACACGUGGAUAACCUACCUAUAAGACUGGGAUAACUUCGGGAAACCGGAGCUAAUACCGGAUAAUAUAUUGAACCGCAUGGUUCAAUAGUGAAAGACGGUUUUGCUGUCACUUAUAGAUGGAUCCGCGCCGCAUUAGCUAGUUGGUAAGGUAACGGCUUACCAAGGCAACGAUGCGUAGCCGACCUGAGAGGGUGAUCGGCCACACUGGAGCUGAGACACGGUCCAGACUCCUACGGGAGGCAGCAGUAGGGAAUCUUCCGCAAUGGGCGAAAGCUUGACGGAGCAACGCCGCGUGAGUGACGAAGGUCUUCGGAUCGUAAAACUCUGUUAUUAGGGAAGAACAAAUGUGUAAGUAACUAUGCACGUCUUGACGGUACCUAAUCAGAAAGCCACGGCUAACUACGUG